AUGAGGAAAAAGAAAAUAAUAGAGCAUCCAAGCCCCACUCCACUCCUGCUACUCUGCAAUGGCUGGAGGAGAACUAUGAGAUUGCAGAGGGGGUAUGCAUCCCUCGCAGUGCCCUCUAUAUGCAUUACCUGGAUUUCUGUGAGAAGAAUGAUACCCAACCUGUCAACGCUGCCAGCUUUGGAAAGAUCAUAAGGCAGCAGUUUCCUCAGUUAACCACCAGAAGACUCGGGACCCGAGGACAGUCAAAGUAAGCACCGGAUGGCCAUUCCACCUGCAGAGCGCACAUCUAUGGGCCUUGAGACAGACCACACCUUUGGCUCUUUAUCCUGAGCUCUGUCUGCAGGCCUGGCAGAAGUCUGUGCCUAGAGGGAAUAUGGAGGAGCUUUAUGACAGCCAGGGCCCCUCUCUCAGGACUCCUGAAAGAGAGGUUGUCCAGAAGCCCAAGACGAGUUGGCUCUGCUGCUUUAAGGAAUCUGAUUUUGUACCACCCUGCUUUUAGGCAUAUCUUGUAAAAUAGUCUUGGGCAUCAUUGAAAGGAUUGCCUUGUGGCCUCUUGGAUGAUCACCAGGUUAUCUGGACUGUUUUGCUGAGCAAACUCUGCUCUGGUAGUAUCCAGUAGACCAGAGAAGCAAAACUGUACUAUUCCCUGCAUGGGAGAUGGGGCAGAAAGAUCCAGCUGUACCAUGGUCCAUGAGGGCUCACGGCUUCCCAUUCAACAGUUUCAUCAAGCAACCAACCAACUCAUGCUUUAUACUUUCUGUGUGGCACAUAUGUGGUGCUAGGUACUGGGAACACAGGAGCAAAUCAGUUUCUGUCCUCAUGGAGCAUACAUUCUGGUGGGAAACAGACAAAACAGAGAAUCAGAUUGUGACAAAGUUGUAGCAGAGAGCAACAAAAGAGGAAUGGCCAGGGAAGGUCUUUCAGAGGGGGUUACAUUUAAGUAAAGACCAGGGGAGUGCAGAAGGCUAUGCAGACACUUGUCUGCUAGAUGUCAGUCAGUGGGAAGGGAAUCUCUUCCUGUACUGCUCGAUCUUCAUUAAAAUCUGGAUUUAUAGGACUUGCCUCUAAGGAUGUUUCAAAAAUUGUUGGACGAUAAUAGGUGUUCCACGAAGAAGAGCAGCAGGCCCUAUAAGUUUGGUUAACACUAAGUUUAAACAGUUUCCUUUACUGCAAGACUUCUCAGAAUCCUUAUUAUGCUAAUGUACAAGGUGACUCCACUAGAGGGUGCCUUAUUAUGCAGUAUUUCUAAGCAUUUUGACCACGCUGAGCAGGUCAGCACAUAGUGACCUAUAAAACACUGUAACUUUUUAGAAAGGCAACCAUAUAGGACUUUUAAGACUUGUCUUGAAGGAUGUGUCAAAAGCAUGUCCAGUGCUCUCACCCUGGGCGAAACCCCUGUCCCUCACCAGCUCCUCUCAACCCUGGGCAGCACAUUCCCAUCCUCCAAGGGUGGGUUUGAUUUUGGAGCCAAGGUAGGGAAAGAAAAUGGAUGAUCAAACUGGGAAAAAUCCUUUUUUGGUAUUCUGAAAAUAAUGAGACUAAUUUUUUUGGUAUAGCUCAGAAGCUCUUGAUCCAAUCUCUAAACGGAUUUCCAGAAGACUGUUGAACAAAGGACCUCUUGGAAUAAAUUACUAAUAAUUUUCCAAGAUGACUAUUCUG
rnacentral:sRNA from 1 species